rnacentral:rRNA from 1 species
UAGCGGCGGACGGGUGAGUAACACGUGGGUAACCUGCCUGUAAGACUGGGAUAACUCCGGGAAACCGGGGCUAAUACCGGAUGGUUGUUUGAACCGCAUGGUUCAAACAUAAAAGGUGGCUUCGGCUACCACUUACAGAUGGACCCGCGGCGCAUUAGCUAGUUGGUGAGGUAACGGCUCACCAAGGCGACGAUGCGUAGCCGACCUGAGAGGGUGAUCGGCCACACUGGGACUGAGACACGGCCCAGACUCCUACGGGAGGCAGCAGUAGGGAAUCUUCCGCAAUGGACGAAAGUCUGACGGAGCAACGCCGCGUGAGUGAUGAAGGUUUUCGGAUCGUAAAGCUCUGUUGUUAGGGAAGAACAAGUACCGUUCGAAUAGGGCGGUACCUUGACGGUACCUAACCAGAAAGCCACGGCUAACUACGUGCCAGCAGCCGCGGUAAUACGUAGGUGGCAAGCGUUGUCCGGAAUUAUUGGGCGUAAAGGGCUCGCAGGCGGUUUCUUAAGUCUGAUGUGAAAGCCCCCGGCUCAACCGGGGAGGGUCAUUGGAAACUGGGGAACUUGAGUGCAGAAGAGGAGAGUGGAAUUCCACGUGUAGCGGUGAAAUGCGUAGAGAUGUGGAGGAACACCAGUGGCGAAGGCGACUCUCUGGUCUGUAACUGACGCUGAGGAGCGAAAGCGUGGGGAGCGAACAGGAUUAGAUACCCUGGUAGUCCACGCCGUAAACGAUGAGUGCUAAGUGUUAGGGGGUUUCCGCCCCUUAGUGCUGCAGCUAACGCAUUAAGCACUCCGCCUGGGGAGUACGGUCGCAAGACUGAAACUCAAAGGAAUUGACGGGGGCCCGCACAAGCGGUGGAGCAUGUGGUUUAAUUCGAAGCAACGCGAAGAACCUUACCAGGUCUUGACAUCCUCUGACAAUCCUAGAGAUAGGACGUCCCCUUCGGGGGCAGAGUGACAGGUGGUGCAUGGUUGUCGUCAGCUCGUGUCGUGAGAUGUUGGGUUAAGUCCCGCAACGAGCGCAACCCUUGAUCUUAGUUGCCAGCAUUCAGUUGGGCACUCUAAGGUGACUGCCGGUGACAAACCGGAGGAAGGUGGGGAUGACGUCAAAUCAUCAUGCCCCUUAUGACCUGGGCUACACACGUGCUACAAUGGACAGAACAAAGGGCAGCGAAACCGCGAGGUUAAGCCAAUCCCACAAAU